rnacentral:rRNA from 1 species
UACGUAGGGUGCGAGCGUUGUCCGGAAUUAUUGGGCGUAAAGAGCUCGUAGGCGGUUCGUCGCGUCGGCUGUGAAAUCCCGAGGCUCAACCUCGGGUCUGCAGUCGAUACGGGCGGACUGGAGUUCGGCAGGGGAGACUGGAAUUCCUGGUGUAGCGGUGAAAUGCGCAGAUAUCAGGAGGAACACCGAUGGCGAAGGCAGCUCGCUGGGACGGUACUGACGCUGAGGCGCGAAAGCGUGGGGGAGCAAACAGG